GUUGAACCGCAUGGUUCUACAGUGAAAGACGGUCUUGCUGUCACUUAUAGAUGGACCCGCGCCGUAUUAGCUAGUUGGUGGGGUAACGGCCUACCAAGGCGACGAUACGUAGCCGACCUGAGAGGGUGAUCGGCCACACUGGAACUGAGACACGGUCCAGACUCCUACGGGAGGCAGCAGUAGGGAAUCUUCCGCAAUGGGCGAAAGCCUGACGGAGCAACGCCGCGUGAGUGAUGAAGGUCUUCGGAUCGUAAAGCUCUGUUGUUAGGGAAGAACAAAUGUGUAAGUAACUGUGCACAUCUUGACGGUACCUAACCAGAAAGCCACGGCUAACUACGUGCCAGCAGCCGCGGUAAUACGUAGGUGGCAAGCGUUAUCCGGAAUUAUUGGGCGUAAAGCGCGCGUAGGCGGUUUUUUAAGUCUGAUGUGAAAGCCCACGGCUCAACCGUGGAGGGUCAUUGGAAACUGGAAAACUUGAGUGCAGAAGAGGAAAGUGGAAUUCCAUGUGUAGCGGUGAAAUGCGCAGAGAUAUGGAGGAACACCAGUGGCGAAGGCGGCUUUCUGGUCUGCAACUGACGCUGAUGUGCGAAAGCGUGGGGAUCAAACAGGAUUAGAUACCCUGGUAGUCCACGCCGUAAACGAUGAGUGCUAAGUGUUAGGGGGUUUCCGCCCCUUAGUGCUGCAGCUAACGCAUUAAGCACUCCGCCUGGGGAGUACGGUCGCAAGACUGAAACUCAAAGGAAUUGACGGGGACCCGCACAAGCGGUGGAGCAUGUGGUUUAAUUCGAAGCAACGCGAAGAACCUUACCAAAUCUUGACAUCCUUUGACCGCUCUAGAGAUAGAGUUUUCCUCUUCGGAGGACAAAGUGACAGGUGGUGCAUGGUUGUCGUCAGCUCGUGUCGUGAGAUGUUGGGUUAAGUCCCGCAACGAGCGCAACCCUUGAACUUAGUUGCCAUCAUUCAGUUGGGCACUCUAAGUUGACUGCCGGUGACAAACCGGAGGAAGGUGGGGAUGACGUCAAAUCAUCAUGCCCCUUAUGAUUUGGGCUACACACGUGCUACAAUGGACAAUACAAAGGGCAGCGAAACCGCGAGGUCAAGCAAAUCCCAUAAAGUUGUUCUCAGUUCGGAUUGUAGUCUGCAACUCGACUACAUGAAGCUGGAAUCGCUAGUAAUCGUAGAUCAGCAUGCUACGGUGAAUACGUUCCCGGGUCUUGUACACACCGCCCGUCACACCACGAGAGUUUGUAACACCCGAAGCCGGUGGAGUAACCAUUUUGGAGCUAGCCGUCGAAGGUGGGACAAAUGAUUGGGGUGAAGUCGUAACAAGGUAGCCGUAUCGGAAGGUGCGGCUGGAUCACCUCCUUU
rnacentral:rRNA from 1 species